UACGUAGGUGGAAAGCGUUGUCCGGAAUUAUUGGGCGUAAAGCGCGCGCAGGCGGCCUCUUAAGUCUGAUGUGAAAGCCCCCGGCUCAACCGGGGAGGGCCAUUGGAAACUGGGAGGCUUGAGUAUAGGAGAGAAGAGUGGAAUUCCACGUGUAGCGGUGAAAUGCGUUAGAGAUGUGGAGGAACACCAGUGGCGAAGGCGACUCUUUGGCCUAUAACUGACGCUGAGGCGCGAAAGCGUGGGGAGCAAACAGG
rnacentral:rRNA from 1 species